AGCUCGUAUUGUAUUGCAUUUAUAGAUACUGUUUUACCUUGGUUGUAUAUCUGUCGUUUUGGGACUAUUCUGUUAUAUGGAGUUGUUUUGUCCUGCUACAUAUGCGAAUUUCUACAAUUCUUGAAUAUAUAUUUGAUAAAUGCAGUCGUUUCUUUCAUAUAAAUGUCGAACUAUGUUGACAAGACUGAAGUGGCAUGUUUCAGAAUGGCAUUCCAGCAAUUUCUGAUGGCAUUUUCGUUACACGCAGUAACACCGGUAGCUACUCGAAGAAAAUAAAUUCCUUCAACUUCUGAAGAAAUCAAGAAGAUAUCUUUUGAAUCAUUGAUAUGUUUGAGCAGUUGUCUGUUGAUCAUGUUACUUUUCUGAAAUGAAUAAAAUAGGGUCAACAAGGGA